UACGUAGGGUGCGAGCGUUGUCCGGAAUUACUGGGCGUAAAGCGCACGUAGGCGGCUUUGUAAGUUAGAGGUGAAAGCCCGGGGCUCAACUCCGGAACUGCCUUUAAGACUGCAUCGCUAGAACGUCGGAGAGGUGAGUGGAAUUCCGAGUGUAGAGGUGAAAUUCGUAGAUAUUCGGAAGAACACCAGUGGCGAAGGCGGCUCACUGGACGACUGUUGACGCUGAGGUGCGAAAGCGUGGGGAGCAAACAGG
rnacentral:rRNA from 1 species